rnacentral:rRNA from 1 species
UAGGGAAUCUUCCGCAAUGGGCGAAAGCCUGACGGAGCAACGCCGCGUGAGUGAAGAAGGAUUUCGGUUCGUAAAGCUCUGUUGUUAGGGAAGAAUGAUUGUGUAGUAACUAUACACAGUAGAGACGGUACCUAACCAGAAAGCCACGGCUAACUACGUGCCAGCAGCCGCGGUAAUACGUAGGUGGCAAGCGUUGUCCGGAAUUAUUGGGCGUAAAGCGCGCGCAGGUGGUCUAAUAAGUCUGAUGUGAAAGCCCACGGCUCAACCGUGGAGGGUCAUUGGAAACUGUUAAACUUGAGUGCAGGAGAGAAAAGUGGAAUUCCUAGUGUAGCGGUGAAAUGCGUAGAGAUUAGGAGGAACACCAGUGGCGAAGGCGGCUUUUUGGCCUGUAACUGACACUGAGGCGCGAAAGCGUGGGGAGCAAACAGGAUUAGAUACCCUGGUAGUCCACGCCGUAAACGAUGAGUGCUAAGUGUUGGUCUCAUAAGAGAUCAGUGCUGCAGCUAACGCAUUAAGCACUCCGCCUGGGGAGUACGACCGCAAGGUUG